rnacentral:rRNA from 1 species
GGUCAAGGUCCACAAUGGUACGAUCGACACUGACUGAACAAGACACCUCGGCCAAGGAAAACAUUCUCUCUGGCCAUUUAGCAGAGUUGGCUGUACAAGACCCUGCCUGCUCUACAUUUGCACGUCUUGCUCUACUUAGUACGCACACGCUCUGCCCAACUUGGAGAUAUCUUCUCAUCCUUUGCUCGGAAAGGAAGAAUCACCAAAGUCCAUAGCACCGCACCUGCAUUCGACGAUGAAGCCUUCGGCAUGAUUAGCACAGCCAGCCAUCUCUGGUGUGUGACGUCGUCUCUUCAGACAUAAUCUGCAAAUUGAAUUUGAUUCUCUUUUUGAAGACUCAAAGAUCAAAUAAAACGAUUUGAUUUGCCCAAAGAAGUCACAGUUAUUCAACACUGAAGCUUGAUUUUUGGAACUAUUUUUGCUAGUAAAAUAUUGAGGUCAAACAGUGUGAAGAGAAAUGGCGGAGGCAGCUCUUCUUCUUGUCACCACAAAGAUCGGAGUAGCUGUGGCAAAGGGAGCACUGAGCUACACUGGACUUCCAAAGAAAGCUGGGUAUGUUGCAGAACUCCCAAGUAACAUGAGAGUGAUAAAGAACGAUCUUGAGCUUAUCCAAGCAUUUCUCAAGGAUAUUGGCAGGAAAGGUUGGACAGAUCGAGUCCCUGAAAUUUGGAUAGGGCAAGCCCGAAGAUUGGCGUAUGAGAUGGAAGACAUUGUGGAUCAGUUUAUUUAUGUGGUUGGUAAACACCACCACGAAGCGGCAUGGUGGGGUUAUGUGAAGAAAAUCGUGAAGAAACCCAAGUCUCUGCUUACACUGGAUGAAAUUGCUACCGCUCUUAAUAUGAUAAACCGAGAGCUUAUACAGCUUAAACAAAAUAGAGACUGGUUUCAACCAAUAAUCGAUGUGAGUGAUGUUCCUGCAACAAGUUAUGACAUCCAACACCAACAGUACCUUCCUGGAUAUGAUUACUCAAUCUCUGAUAAUGAGCUUGUAGGAUUAGAAAAAAAUAAAGAUGACUUGAUGAAGUCACUGGAUUUGGGAGUUUCUUCAAACCUACAGAUCUCUGCUGUGUGGGGUAUGGGUGGCAUUGGGAAAAGCACUCUUGUCAAUCAUGUGUUUACGGCGUCCAAUUUUGACUGCAAGGCAUGGGUUUCUGUCUCUCAAUCAUAUAAGCUAGAUGAUAUUUGGAGAAGCAUGAUGAAUGGAAUCAAAUCUAAAGAGGAGAAAGAAUUUGAUGCUGAGAAGAUGAGCAGCAUAGAGCUGACAGAUAAAUUGAAGGAAAUCCUAGGGACAAAGAGAUACUUGAUCGUACUGGAUGAUGUGUGGGCAGCCAAAGUUUUUUUCGAAAUUAAACAUGUUUUUGUUGAUGAGCACAUGGGAAGCAGAAUAAUAAUCACAACAAGAACUAAGGAAGUUGCAGCAGCUCAUGAUGGCUGCAUGAUCGAAGUGGAGCCUCUUGACGAGAAGAAGGCAUGGCUUUUAUUUUGUAGGAAGGCAUUUCCAAGAAUUGAAAACCACAUCUGCCCCAAAGAGUUACAUGAGUAUGCUAAAUCCAUUGUGGAGAAGUGUGGUGGUUUACCGCUAGCUCUUGUGACCAUAGGGAGCAUACUGUCUCUUAAAGUCAAAACUGUUACAGAGUGGAGGCUAUUUCAUGACCAGCUUAUCUCGGAGCUACACAACAAUGACAACCUAAGUCGUGUGCAGAAUAUUCUGAAUCUAAGCUACAAAUACUUGCCUGACUAUUUGAAGAAUUGUUUCCUGUAUUGUGCCAUGUUCCCAGAAGACCACAUGAUCCACAGAAAAAGAUUGAUUAGAAUGUGGCUUGCAGAAGGGUUUAUUGAACAAAUUGGAAAUUGCAGUUUAGAAGAUGUUGCUGAAGGUUACCUGACACAGCUCGUUCAACGAAGCAUGCUUCAUGUGGUAGAGAGGAACAGUUUUAACAGGAUCAAAUGUGUUCGAAUGCAUGAUCUUGUGCGUGAAUUGGCCAUUUUCCAGUCCAAGAGAGAGAGUUUCGGUACAACUUAUGAUGAUAGUCAUGGGGUGAUGCAGGUGGAGUCAGAUUCUCGUCGUUUGUCAGUGCUCCAAUGCAAAAAUGAUAUUCAACCAAGCAUAGGUCAAUGCAGGCUUCGUACCUUCAUAGUAUUUAGCACCAGCAAGACAUCAUCUUCAUUGUUUCAGUCAGAAUCUAAAUACCUUGCUGUGUUGGAGCUAUCAGGAUUACCUAUUGAGACUAUUCCAGACUCAAUUGGUGAGUUAUUCAACCUUAAAUAUUUGGGCCUUGACAAGACCGAUGUGAAGAUACUCCCAAGAUCUGCCGUGAAGCUUCACAACUUAGAAACACUGAGUCUUCAAGAUACAAACUGUCUGCAUCUCCCUCGAGGGUCUGAAAAACUAAAGGGAUUGCAGCACAUUUUUAUGUAUAAAGUGCUGGAUAAAGCAUUCUCGGUUACCAACAGUGUUGAACCUAUGGAACCGUUUGACGGACUGUGGAGUUUGAAGAACUUGCAUACCCUGAAGGCCGUUCGAGCUAGUGAAAUUUACGUUGCAAAACUAGCAAAUUUAUCUCAGCUGAGGACCCUUAGCAUUAUAGGGGUAAGGAGCAUCCACUGUGCACAGCUGUGUGACUCUCUGUGAAAGAUGCACCAGCUCUCACUAUUAGAAAUAGUAGCAAGCAACGAAAAUGAGGUGCUCCAGCUUGAAACUUUGACACUGCCAAACCCUCUUCAGAAGCUCAUUUUUGCAGGGCGAUUUUCGGAAGGAACUUUGAAAUCUCAAUAUUUCUCAAACCAUGGAGAUGCACUUCACACGAUAUCCCUAUACUGUUCCCAGCUCGUGGAGAACCCAUUUCCACGCCUCUCUGAAUUUUUUAGUUUGACCAAAAUAUUUCUUAAAAGGGCGUAUACUGGACAAGAGCUAAACUUCCAUCCAGGGUGGUUCCCGAAUGUGAAGGUUAUUUUCUUGAUGGAUUUGCCACACGUCAACAAAAUACACAUACACGAGGGAACUUUGGUCCUCCUUGAAGAACUUGUGAUUAGUAACCUUGAAGAACUGGAGAGCAUCCCUACAGGCGUUGAAUAUCUGAAAUCCCUCAAAGAGGCAUUCUUUCUUAAAAUGCAUCCUAAUUUCGAAAGGAAUUUUCCAACGACAAAACUAAAUCAUGUCCAGACAGCCCGCUACAGUAUACGAUCCGAAGUGGCAUGAGCCUUUCUUGGGUGGCUGGGGUUUGCAGUCAUUAUCGUCGGCGAGGGAGCUGUAUACAUCUCUGUUGUGCAAUGGAGAGUUAUGGGACAAGUGUCAUUUUUCUUGCUAUUAUCAUUUCUGCUUAUUCAAACAAGAACAACUGGUUUGUAAUAAGGCAUGGGAAUUAUUUCUGUUCUUGCCAUCCAUAUUGAUUUUACAGUAUUUAUGUUUAGUGGUGCUAAGCUACUGCUUCGAGAUAAUUAUUAUGUAUUUUUACAUAGUGAUUCAUGUAAUAAUGUUGAAAACUUCAGUUACUUUCUCGACACAUGUUCAAUACUAGAAAACGAACCUUAUUUGCCACUGCAUGCCAUGCCCCAGUGCAAAGCAUCAGAACAUUUUGAUCAUCGUUCGCGGCUGCUGAGGUUCAGAACUUCACAGUCCAGUGUCUUUUAGCUCUUGUCUGGAGAAAU